rnacentral:lncRNA from 1 species
AGAGUUAAGUUUUCUUUGGGGUGAAAUUAGGACUGAAGUCCUGGAGACAGCAUCUCAGGCAGCCUGAAAAACUGCUUGCAGGCAGUGAGGGGGAGCUGGGUAAUAGAGGAGGGUUUGCAACAAGGGGCAGGGAGCAGGACAAAAAGAGGCCUGGGCUCCCCGAAAUCCUUCCUUUGACAGGCACCUCCACUCUCAGGGCAGGAUCCUGAGUGUGCACAGCCUGCAGGACUCACCUGCUCUCACCCCUGGAGGUGACUGAUUCCCAGAUGACCCGGACAUUCUUCAUCCUUAGCUACAGACCUGCGGAAAUACCACCCAGGGAGGAAAAGGGGGAACAGCAGGAUGUGAUCAAGCGGAGGGGGAGGGGCCUGCAGCACACACACAUUCUACAGAAGUUUGUGGCUGAUCUCCUGAAGGUCACUGCCAGUCCCAAGGAGCAGACAUCACCAUGAAGGAUUUCAGGGUUUUUCCAGAUAGGAGAUGCAAGAAUGGGGCACAUAAAAUCAUCUCCUAAUAAUAUCUGAGUCUCUGAAGGCCUGUUCUUCCACUUUUCCUAGAGCUCGGAUUCCCCACUCCUGGUCCCACCUGGAGCUCUGCUCAGGGGGAGCUACAGGUCUGCAGCUGCAGUGGCUCCUGUUUUACUCCAUGUAAGAGGCUGACGGCAGGUGCCAAACUUCAGCUCACAGGGCUCCCCCGGGGUCAUAAAUUCGACCAGAGCUCUGAGAGGCAGUUCAUGACCAUUUCGUCCCCAAGGUGCUAGGAAUGCGCACUCCCACGUCUGGCAACGAUUUCACAGACAGGCUUUUAGUGGACUAGGCGUUAUUAACAGUAGCUCAAAGUCUCUGAAACGUCUGUCUUCCUAGUCUGUUAUGGUCCAGGAAAAUACUCCCUCUUGUUGCAUCUUCCCAUAGCCAGGGUUACUCUCUCACCGUGGUUGGUCUGGUAAGAAGAACUGUUUCAAAUCUCCCAGGCAUCAUUACUUUGUUGGAGGCUCAGUUACACAUUUAACAAUACAAGAAACCAUCACCUUGUAAAACAGGCAAAAUACAAUGUAGCUGAUGCCAUUAAACUGUACGUAAAUCCUUAAGCCGAGCAAAUCUCACAGCAAACCAGUUCCUAAAGAUGGCAUCAAGACUAGGAAGUGGGCCCCUCAAAGCAGCAUAGAGACCUCAGAAUUUGGUACCCCAAUCGUCUGUUUACUAUCACUUAAAUCUGUUGGUACAUUUUGUGAAGGCUUCCAUAUGACUGAUACACAUUCUAAUCCUAUUCAAAGUACAAAAAUGGCUGGGAGAUUAUCAUACUAGCUGAAUGCACCUCUCUCGACCCAUUAGGCUUGCAUCAGUGAUGGACUGGUUGGUGUCAUCUUUUGAUUAUUACGAAUGUGGACUUAAGUCCUAGGGAAUCCUAGAGUACAUCUUCCUCUCCAUCCUGCUGGAACCCCAAAGCCGUAGAUGGGUACCACGAAUCCACUGAGUUCCACUAGGUGCCAGCCAGUGACUCUCUGGUCGCCGGACCCAGUCUGUUCCAUACCAGCCACUGUUUAGUUUAUAAAGGGAAUAAUACAUAGGCUUUGUUUGUAAGGCACCCAGCCAUAUUUCCUAAUGUUAGGAGGUUAUGCUGAUCACGUUUAGUGUAAUUUAAUGAUUCCCAACAUAGGGGACUUUAAACUGAAACAGCCAUAGCCUAGUGCUAACUAUAUAAGUCCAUCCCAUAAUUGUGGGAAGGUCCCUUUUAAUAAGCAGGAGUUACAGGUUUUGAUGGAGACUCAGCUCAUUCUACUGCGUUUGAGUGACCCCGAAGGAAAAUUCCUAUUUAUGUUCAGAGUCAGAGCAGGUGAACAUUAGUUGGCCAAGUGAGAAAAAUCUCAUCCAGUAGUAUCAAUCGUGGCCUGUACAGGACGGAACUCUUUCUUCUAAAAUAACUUCCUAAGGGCCAUCCCAUCGGAACCCUGCAGGGGAGAAGCCCACCCAGGUAACCCGGAAGUCCUGAACACAGGUCACUGGUCACACACCCAACACGUGCACUGAUUUUUAAAAUGACCACAGGAUCAUUCUUCUGAGGGAAGAACACUGGAUCCAUGUGGAAACGUCUAAGGAGUCACUGCAUCACGAAAGGCAUCAGGUCCAGCAUCUGGGGUCAGCUGUCUACCUCCGAGGUUGGCGUCUUCUCAUCCCUGUGUGUCUUCUCCUCCAUGUGAAUAUUGUUUUAAGAUGAUUUUGAGGUCCAGGAGUCCAGUCCAGUCCAGGGGUGACUUUGAGGUCCAGCAGUCCAGUCCAGGGCAGGGGCCUUUGUCGUAAGGGGGGAAACAGGAAUCCAAGAGUCCAUUCCCUUUAUUUUGCUUGCUGCCCAUGAGGUCGUUCCGUGUACCUGGUGAGGGCCUUCCUUUCGGCUUGGAAAUAAUCCUUGAUUUUCCAGUCCUUUCAGUUUGCAUGGUCCCCUUGUCGCAGAUUCCAGGGCGUCUGAUCUUCAUCCAAGAACAGGUCACUGAGACACACUUUAGAAACAAGCUUCAGAAUGUUCCUUCAGAAGCUCAGUUCAGCUUUGCAGCGAUAGAACAGACAGCAAAGAACAAUCUAGGAAGUAAGUCUUCGUCAUACCGGCUGCAAUGAAAAGAAUUCGAUGAACAGAUUUAGCACAUGUCCAUUGAAACAUCUCUUUCUCUCUAAAAUUACUCUUGUUUUUAUCAAAUAUAGCCAAACCAAGACUGAUUCAUCUGCCGAUCAAGUCUGGUGUCAACAACCUCGGCCGGAUGAUUUAUUUAUGGAAAUAUAAUUGAUCAUACAGGGUUUUCAAAAAAUUGGCUUUGCUAGAACUUUUACAAGGAAUCUCAGGCUAAGGGAUUACAAGGCAGCUCAGGGCUAGGAACAUCACGCCUAGGGCUUGUCAGACAUUUUCUCUUCAAGAUCUAGGUCAAUUCCUCGCUUUUCAAAAACCCAAAUACCUUGCAGUUUCUGCAGGCUACACACCAGGAGGCCCUCCUAACUGAUCCGAUAAAGCUGCUGGGAACCUGAGAGUUUCCACUCUCCGAAGGGAUCAGGCAGAGAGAGGAGAGAAAUGUUUCAAUCCUGCUUCCAAAGGGAUAAUUUACCAAACCGCUCGAUGGGGAGAAUCUUUAUACCUGGAAAGCACAGAUGAAAAGCCAGUCCUGUUUCAAAGAGAAACCAUAAAAUUAUAACCAUAUGCCCCAGUUCACACAGCUCAAUGUAACCAAUCCUUUUUGUUUAACUGUUUAUGAAACCAUCACCUUUCCUUGUAGAAUUCUUUCAUUUCUUACCAAGCUCAUCAUUAAGGUCUGGAAGUCAGAAACUUGUAUUUCUUUAAUAAAAAGUCCUUCCUGUAGCUCUUCUUGAAGAGGAAGCAUUUUUGCAGAGGCAUCAAAGUCAUUAACUGUUACAAUGACAAAAGACUUAAGGCACAUUUAAAUCUGAUUACAGUGCAAAUGAACUAGAAAAUGUGGUUACUGUUGUGACAUGGAACGUUUUGAAAUAACUAGAAAAAGAUUAUUAUAACACAGUACCAGUACAUAGCCAAGUUUCAGAAACUGUCAGUUCUAGAAUAUUUAUCUCAAACACAUCAAUUCAACUGUAUAAUCUGAGGUUUAUCACCCAUUUGAUAAGGCUCCCCAUGUAUUUUAACAUACCAAAUAAUUCUAGUUAAUUUAACAUUGUUUUUCCUUUUGGGAUGCCUCAGGGGUCCUGUGAAGCAUUCCAAAGUUAGCUGAGUUAAAAGAACUUUAAUUAGAAUUGGAUUGGAAGUUUAUCAAGAAUAUCAGCUUUUUUUCUUUUAAUUUGGUCAGAUAGAAUCAUAGGUUGCUGUGGAGAAUCCUUUUUCCUUAACCAACGUUACAAGCGAUUGCAAAAGCAAACACAGCAGAUCACUUAAAAGAACGUUCUGUUAUAUAAUCUGUUAUCAAAGUAGCAUUCCAAGGAAACUUUGUUCUCUCAGCAAAGGAAGCCAAGGUCAAGUUUUGCACCUGCUUAUUAUAAAAUCGAUUCACUCAGUUCAGCUCCCUCUAAGCAUGGUUCUGACACUGCAACCCUUCCCUCCGUGUCCACUUCCCACAAACCUCCCAGCAGUUUCUGUAUCCAUUGGUUUGUCCCCUGGUUUCCAUUCCAAACAACAAGCAACAGACAGACUUCCUCUUCUUUUCCCUUGAGGAACGAGAACUCCAUUCCUCAUUCCUUCUUUCCUGAAAACACAUAUCCUGCAAUAGUUCCCAGUUCCCUAAAGUAACCAUGGACAAGUCUUUCAUAAUUUCAAAAAACAUGCGUUUUGUGUGUUUGCUUGUGUCGGGGAGAACACCUCAGGGUGGCUCAGAACCAUCCUUUGUGCCUUUAGUGUCUCUGUGCAGUAAUUAAUGUCUCAGUUUCUUAGUUAUUUGGGAACGACCUAGCUCCUCAAAAAAUUUGAUCAUUUAACAAUCAAGCACAAUUCUAAUUUGCACAGUACCAAUAUCUGGAGAGUGCAUUCUUAAGUAGACAUUUUUAAGAUAACUAUUUCUGAACGUUUAUCCAAAAGCUCUUAUCUCACGUGCAUUUAAUUGCCUUAUAAACAUCUCAUGGUACCAAGUUAUUUUUUCUUGCGAAUAAUUUUGCAACAGAUGUAACAAGAUCUUAUUAGACGUCUCUUAUCCCAGGUACAAUAAAGGUGUUCUAC